rnacentral:lncRNA from 1 species
CUGCUCCGGACAGGGAUGGUUCAUCGAUAAUUCCUCGUUCUGUGUAAAGCUUUUGAAAAUUUUAAUACUUUCUAUACGAUCAGAUCGAACGCUUAUGAGAUUAUCUGGCGCGCGUUAUGUAUCACGUGCUGGCUUAACACGAACCUUCUCGCGAAACGAUCGAUCUCCAAUCAACUGUGGUGGAGACGUGCAAAACCCUCAUCCCCCCGCCAGCACCCAAACUCUCCAACAACGAUGCAAGAUUCCGUUCGAUGUUCCUGGCUUCGACACCCAUAAAAUACGAUACUUCGGGCAUGAUCUAACUUAAAUUCACGGAUAUGAAACCAUUGGAAGAAUAAUUACAACGAGAAAUAGAGAAAAGUUGUGCAUCGGACUAUGGAACAUAAAGAAAACGGAUUGAGGAUGAUUCGAGGGCGACGUAGGUCGAGAGGAGUGUCUGGAACUCAGCUUGUACCGAGUGAGAAGAUUGUUCAUCAUUCGCGAAAAGUGUGAUGAACGAAAUGCUUCACCAGGAAAACAAAAAUAAAAUGAAGACGCGACUAAGAUUCUGCAGCGAUAGACAUGCACGUGAUACUGAGCGCGUGCUGCAGCGAUCGCGUCGGGGAGCCACGUCUGUAAUCUCGGCGGCAUCUUUUUUUUCCUUCUAACACUUGUGAUUCCGCUCCUACGUUUUGCUGAGCGCCUCGAGCCUACACCGCGAUGGAUCUUGAUCGGCACGAUCGACGGUUAUCGAGAAACGAUCUAGGCAAAGGCGAUAUCUGAUUUGAAGAAAAUUAUAUCGACGAAGACGCCAAAGUUAUGCUACAGUUUAGAGAAACCAAUGGCAAAAAUCUCGUCCUCUUUAAACAUUUCAGAAUCCUAAAUCGUAUAACAUCGCAAUACAAAUCAGGUGUUAUGAAUGUGGUCAACUUGGAAAGCUCGUUUAGAAAAAAUCCUCUUCCCAGCUCACUGAUCGGGGAUUCUAUUGAACGUUAAACAAAUAUUUGCUAGAAACAUGAUUAUUCCUCCACGAUUGAACCGACUUUACGUUCCUAUAAUAAAUUUAUACAAGUUUUACGAUGCUUUUAAUUUUGAAGGAUACUCCAAUGUUAUUGAAAAUUUCUCCCAGGUCUCGCUUCGUUAAAAAACUUUUUUCAUUUCAUAAAAAAUACAGUGUGCAAUAACAGACUGGAGCACCACAUCCUUGUCACAGCUGGAAGAAACGUUUCAACUUUUUGUUUCGUCGAAUCAACGUCCGUCAUCGUGCUCGAGAGCGCUGACUAUGCUAACUGAGCAAUCACAAAAAUUGAAUGUUGAGCACACAAAUCCAUGCAGAUAUAUUUGUAUAGAGUAUUUCGUGAUAAUUCAUUCAAGUGCUUCGUUUCUGUUGUAGAUUGUACCUCGUUACGAAUAUUCACAGGGAUUCUCGUCCACUCCAGAGGAGCAUCGACGAGCUUUUUUCACGUUCGUUUAUAACUGGAGUAGUUCAUUAAAGAACAGUCGAUUCUUGCCUCUUAACAGUGAGUGAAUCUGUGACGAUGUGAUGGAGAAAAAACUGGACCAUCUCUGUGCUGUUGGCAUCAUUAGGAGUAAAAAUGUUGUUCGCAAUCGCUCAUAUUUGGGACGAACAUUUUUUCGUAUUGCGCUUUAACCCUUUGUAUAUUCAUUUAGGCCUUUGAUGUCACAUCCUUCUUAAUUAUUUUCGCCUUUAUUCAGUGAAUUUACGGUAAAAAUGGAGCAAAAUAAAGAAUAUUCUUGGUCAUAACGAAAGAAAAAAGCCGAGAAGCUGUGGCCGAAUGGAACUGGGUAAAGAGCAUAGAGAAAGGUAAAUCGAGAUAGGAAGAGAGGAGAAGAGAUUAAGAGGAAGGAAAAAAAGUAGUCAAGUGCGCCUCGGACCUCAGAAACGUAGGACCCGUCAAGAUUCCCAUCAACAUUUCAGAUCACGUCCAUCAAAGAGUAAAAAAACUAUUUUUUUUCAAUUAAUUCAAGAAUAGUUGUCACUAGAGCAGUGCUGUUCUGUCAAAUUACUUCAGAUUUUGAGGUCAAGUAAUUAUGGAAAUAGCUGCGGAGGCCGAGUUUCAAGAUUUCAUAACUGUUUCAGCGUGCGAUGUGUAUGCGUUCAUCGAAUGUGUAUAUGCGUUUGGGAAUUUGAAAACUCAUUAGCUGUGAGUGUCAAAAAACUUCGUUUAAGAUCAUUAAUGGUUGAACAGCCGUGAAGAGUUGAGAUAAAAUUCAACCUCUGAGCUUUGUUUUAUUUUUAUUCGCGUGAAGAAUAGAAUCGUCAAAUUUUAUAAUCGCGUCUGGAAAAUACAAUUUCUUUUUGUAUGGACUAGGGUUGGUGAAGAAAAUGUAAGCGACAAUAUGAAAUUUUGAUAUUCCCGGGCGCUGGGUGAGAGUCGAAAUCGGUCUCUUGGCUCGGGGACGUUUACGAGGUUACAUCCUUCAAGGGAUUCUACAAGAAACGGUAACGUUUUCGCAUCAUCGCCUGGCCAGCGUACUUGAUCAUCCCGUCUGUAUUUUUUCACGUCGACGAGCGAUAUACCUCUAGUCCUCGGGCAAGAGCCACCGAGGGAUCCUUCAAUUAUCGAGAUAAGUUCCCUCACAUGUAUAAAAAACACAAUCAAUAUAUUGUCGAUUAAAAAUUUGAGAAUCUUGCGAACAAAAGAAAAUUAAACUGUGCGGUUCCACGGACGAUAGAACCAGCUUAUAAGUAUGUGUAUGUGUGCGUGAACGGGAAUGGAAGAAAAGAAUGCCUAUGAAUGUUAAUGACGAAAUGACACAAUGAUACCGGCGUUAAUUCAAAAUAAAAUCGUUCAUCAAUUUUGAAAGUCAUAAUUCUUUUAUUCUUUUGUUGUUUUCUUUUUCUUUUUCUUCUUUUUUUGUGUUGUAAUUUCGUUGUCGUGGAUCAAGAAAAAAAUAGUUACAAAAAGAAUCGAGUGAGAAAGUUAUAGUGCUGAUCACGAUGAAUUCUUUUUAUCUUGACGUUUGUAAACUGACAUGGAACGAAAUUCCAAAACACAGUGAAGCGUCUCGAGUGUGUGAAUUUGUCGGUUUCUAUAUGUGCAGUGAAUGAUUCAAAUUAAAAUAAAACUCCCCCGUAUUUAAUUUAAGGUCAAGGGAGUUGAAAGUGUUCGAUUAAAAAACUGGAGAACUGUGCCAAACUUCUCGUAUAUCGAGGUAGAAUGAACCUCAAGCAUGUUGGAACUUCGUUCCGGGCUAUGUACUCGCAAUGGUAAUACUUCGAAUAAAAACCAAUGGAUAAGAA